CCUACGGGAGGCAGCAGUGGGGAAUAUUGCACAAUGGGGGAAACCCUGAUGCAGCGACGCCGCGUGAGUGAAGAAGUAUUUCGGUACGUAAAGCUCUAUCAGCAGGGAAGAAAAUGACGGUACCUGACUAAGAAGCCCCGGCUAACUACGUGCCAGCAGCCGCGGUAAUCCGGAGGGGGCAAGCGUUAUCCGGAUGUACUGGUUGUAAAGGGAGCGUAGAGGGCAGCGCAAGUAUGGAGUGAAAUCUCAUGGCUUAACCAUGGAACUGCUUUGGAAACUGGGCAGUUGGAGUGCAAGAGAGAGAAGCGGAAUUCCAGGGGUAGCGGUGAAAUGCGGAGAGAUUAGGAGGAACACCAGAGGCGAAGGCGGCUUAUUGGACUUUAACUGACGUUGAGGCUCGAAAGCGUGGGGAGCAAACAGGAUUAGAUACCCUAGUAGUC
rnacentral:rRNA from 1 species